UCCUCUUGAAAGUUAAAAUAGGAUAGAGACGGAUUGGUGGGGGCUACUUUAGACUGCGGAGUCACAGAGGACCUCUUUGAGGAAGUGGUAAUUUAAGAUGAGAUCAGAAUAACAUAUCCAGCCUUGAGAAGACAAGGGGGUGGAGGGAGUGUUCCAGGGAAAGGAGACACCUUAUACAAAGGCUGGAACAAAUUGAAUGGGUUCAGAAAACAAAAGGAAGGCCCAGAGUGACUGGAGCGUGGCAUUUAGGGAUGAAGGUCAAGUCAGAAAAGUAUGUAAGAGUCUGGUCAAGUAACAGUCUCGUAGGCCAAGGUGCAGCUCAGUUGCCGUGAUGCUCCUUGAGUCAAUGAGCUCUUUGGUCUGCUCUUCUGCUCAAGCAGAAAAUGAUCUGCGCUUCACCCUUGAGAAGCUGACAAGAACCACAGGCUUCUUCGGGCAGGUGGUGGAACAUGGGUGUAUCCUGCAGGUUCUCACAGUAUCUCCCUUUGCUCAGGCUCUAGCCUGAUUUUCUGGCUCAUAAGGCCAAAGGGAGCCGGAAAGGUCCCCACGGCAGGACUCAUGGUGGAGAGAGAAUGGUCUGGAGGAUUCAGGCCUCUGCACACUGUGUCUGGGUCCCUCCUUAAAGAAUGAUAAAGACAAGCAAAGAGCUUGAAGCAGCCUGGAGUCCAGCCAGAAACCUUUAACUGAGCUUUAAAGGAGAUGGUCACAACACUUUUCAGAAUACUGGCAAAGGCCUCCUGUGGCCAGGUUUGUCCUGGGAUGAGCAAAAUUUAAUGUUAACCUGCUGUAUCUUUGCUUUUAAUAUAUCUGCUUGCCCACCACAAUGACGUUAUGGUUAAUUUCACCAAUUUGGUAACCUGCCUCAUGGGAAGUACGAAAGUAAGCAAGGGCCAGGUGUGGUGACUCACGCCUGUAAUCCCAGUACUUUGGGUGGCUGAGGCAGGUGGAUUGCUUGAGCCCAGGAGUUCAAGACCAACCUGGGCACCAUGACAAAACCCCGUCUCUAAAAAAUAUACAAAAAUUAACCAGGGGUGGCAGUGCAUGGCUGUAAUCCCAGCUACUUGGAGGCUGAGGUGGGAGAAUCUCUUGAGCCUGGGAGGCAGAGGUUGCAGUGAGCUGAGAUCACACCACUGCAUUCCAGCCUGGGCAACGAAGUGAGACCCUGUCUCAAAAAAAAAAAAAAAAAAAAAAAGAGAAAGACAGUGAGGGUGUCCUGUGAAUCAAAUCUUUGAAUGGAUGUUUUCUUAACUAACCAAGACCUCUGUAAGAAUUCUGUCUUUGAUUCCACAAUAAAGUGGUGUGAAAUUACUAUAAGCAAAUGUUUACAUGUCUCAUUUAAUCUUCACAACAAUCCUAUGAGGCAAGUAGAAUUGUUAUCCUCAUUUUCUGAGUGAUGAAACUGAGGCUCAGGGGAGGGUGUGACCUUGCCAAGUCCCCACAACUGGAAACCACAGAACAAAAUGACCUGAGUCACACAUGCUAGGAAAAACUCAUUGUGCCUCCCCAUGGAGCUUCACAAUGGCUAUUUCUGUUGCAAUAGAGGAUGAAGCAGGUGGUCUUUCCAAUCAAGAGCUGUUAAGAAAGCCUCCAGUUCUCCCCGGGGAAUCUCAGAAUCAGACUGAAGAUUCGGAAGAGCCUUUGCUGACCACUGAGUCAAACUCCCCAGAAUCCUUUUAUAGUACCGCUGACCAGUGAGUGAUCAUCAAACCUCCAAAGACUUCGGUAAUUUGCAGAUUCUAGGGAAAAUUCCAUGAGUUAACAGAGGUGAAAUUUGAAAGUUCCGUAGAGAAAUUCUGGAACUUGAAAUUAUCAUAGGAAGAUUAUUAUGCAAUUUUGUUCCUGUUAGUAGUCUUUAAUAAAGAGACUUCAGGUGAACAUUGGGUUGAACCAAGAUUACUUUCUUCCAUUGUCACCAUUCUGAUUUCAGAUUGUUCCUUGCUGGUUUAUAUACUCUUCAAUUCCAUUUUGUACCAGAUAGAGGCAGAGUAGAAGGAAAAACUGAACAACAAACUGCAUUUGUGCCAGCUCGAGGGAUAAACACCCUCUAAGGAGCAUCUCAAGCUUUCCACAAGAUUUCAACAGGGCCACCCCAGUUCACAGGCAGGUAGUGUGUCUUCAAUGUGUGGCCAAUCGCUCUUGGACAAACAGGAG
rnacentral:lncRNA from 1 species